ncrna:unclassified sequences Mu-gpT-DE RNA
CCCUGACAGCCGCAUUCUGUGGCUGACUUAACCCAGACAGGAGAUUGACAUG